UCAUCAAACAAGACAUUGCAACCCCUUCGUUUUGGAGUUGAAUUUUUUUUCCAGAAUGCUGGUCCAUUUAAGCCAACAAUGCCCUCUCCAGUGCACAAAUUCGCAACAUGGGAAAUCGAAGCCCUGACCUCUGGCUCUAAUAUCAUUUGUCGGAUCGUCGGCGCUAACCAUUAAUCUCUAACCAUUAAUUCCAAAAGCUCAAGCUGCUAGAAAUAUACAACAAAUUCACUUAAAGCUUACAAACACAGCACACACGGGUCUCGAUUGUGACUCGGCCUAACCCGUCUCAUGCCACUUCAAACACGAUACGGCCCAAUUCAGCCUCACGCCAUUUUGAAUGUGACUGGGCCCAACCUAACCUUUCGCUACAGGGCAGAAUGCUGACUCAUUAAAGCCAAUAGGGUAGAAGUUUUUUUAUUUAUUUGUGUGA
rnacentral:lncRNA from 1 species